rnacentral:rRNA from 1 species
AGUUCAUUGAACCCUCUCACCUAGAGGAAGGAGAAGUCGUAACAAGGUCUCCGUAGGUGAACCUGCGGAGGGAUCCAUAGCAAACUUAUUCCUGCCUUAGGCAUGUCGUCGCAUCUAUAGCGCGCUUGCCGACAGACAGGUUGGGGCGGUCCCUGCUCUGCUGUGGGUGGGGAUUCUCUCCUCCUGUCCUAUAGUGGUGGCUCGGGUGUGGGGCAGUUGCCUACCUCACAUACCAAGGCCUCUCGCGAUGAUGCUGCUCCCUUACGGCUGUUUGAUCUGUUGGUACAACGAACACAUCCAACACUGCCUGUAGAGAAGGGGGGUGGCUGUGGUCGACUGGAGUAUGCCGCCAUUCUGUGGUUUCUGGUCGACCGGGAUUGCAGCGGCGGAGGGAACUGCAGUCCUCUGCCGUUGUCCGAACGUGGUUGCCAUACUGGCACCAUUUUAUGGCCGUACGUGUGCAUCCUCAUGGUGCGCGCAUUCGCAUGUGUCGCCAUGUUGGUCGUCGCUACUGCCCCCGGGCUUUGCAUGCCUACACGUAGGUGUGCAAGGUAAUCCCAUUCAAAUGCACAUCACUAGGUUACUCCGUGCUUGGUUUUGGCUUGGAGGGCAGUGUCCCUCGGGCUUGAAGUUGAUAGCGAAACACUAUACAAUGGAUUUCUUGGCUCCCACAUCGAUGAAGAACGCAGCAAAGCGCGAUAGGUAGUGUGAAUUGCAGAAUUCCGUGAAUCAUCGAAUUUUUGAACGCACAUUGCGCCCGAGCUCUUGUGCUUGGGCAUGCCUGCCUCAGCGUCGUUCGAGUAUUUGGCUCUAGCCGGUGUUAGAUGCUUGCCACGAUCAUGCGCGGUAUGCAUAGAUGAAUGAUAUAAUUGGGGGGGUAUGAAUAAGAUGCGUGCACAAGCGUGCGUGCAUUACACUCCUCCCUCCCUAGUGCAGACUUGCUUCUGCCUCUAGCGGAGCAAGGUUUGCAAAACCGAGUGGGCAAGGGUGGAGUUCUCCUCACCUAUUGGGCGAGAUGUAACGUUCCCUGUCGCUCAUAAUACUCAAGCCACUGCCUUGUCUUGCACUGCUUGGCUUAAGGUUAUGAUGGGUAGCAGAGAACGUGAUGUCCGUAGAUGAGUGUACCGUCUCUACCUUCCCACUUCCCAAUAUUCGACCUGAGUUCAGGCAGGGUGACCCGCUGAA